AUGACUGAUAGACUAUUCCAAGAAACAAUGGCAACCAGCACACAAUUCCGUUUAAUUAUAGCCAAUUCAAGGGGUAAAUGCGGCGUGCAUGUCCUCUUUUAUGCAUGUGUGGCGUGCCCUCCCCCCUUCCCUGUACGGGUCCCGCGACCAACAGACCACCGUCUGGGGCCCUCGCCGACGCCGGCAGCAAGUAGGGACACCUUGCGGUUAGCAGGGCCUCCGUCCGGCGCGCCCAAGCCCGGGCCUAAAGUGUGGCAGCUUCUCCCUUGCCUAUGUUCCCGUCAGUUCGAGCUCGGAGACAAUUCACACAAGGUGAGAUGCGGUCUGCCGUCCGAGGCCGUCGCCGUCGCCGGCGGCACGGCGAGAGCUAUGUUGCUCCAUGUCGUUGUUCCGCGCCGAACAGCAUGCGUGGGCGGUGAGCAGCACAAGCAGGACCCUAAGGAUUUAUCCCUUGAUACACUGACGAAAUGGGAGGUUUUGGAUUCAACUGUAUUUGUGAUUUGUGCCAAGACUUCGGUAUAUUUUGAAGCAAAGCUAAUACGGCUGAAGUCAAACAGCUAUACCUCCAAUACUUUGCUUGACACUGUGACAGCAGCAACACUCCAGCUGCUCCGCCCGCCCCGCCGCUGCUCCGUCCGCCGCACGCUACCCUCCGUCCCGGCCGUCGUUGACCUCGUCUCGGCCUCGCCCGUCGCCUCAGCUGCCCUCCUCGACGUCCUGCUCGUCCUCGCGUGGGCCAUGGACGUGCGCUGCCGCUGGCCUCUGCUGGACGUCGUCCUCGCCCGGAUCCUCGUCGCCAGCCAAAAGGCCUCGCCGCCGCUGCCUCCGCUUCGCCGGAACCGCGCCCCCUGCAACCCCUCCCUCGACCUAGAGCUGCAGGCUCCACUGCCAUCGUCCAAGCAUGCCAAGUCCGACGGAAGCAAGCAGAAGAAGAAGGACCAAGACCCGAGACCCAUACUAACAUAUCAAGAUCAAAGUCUGCUCACCAUAGCUGGCUGGAGUUAUGUAUCCAAGCAGUGGCUGUCAAUGCGUGGCCACCGGCCGGCUAGCACUGAAGCGUCCAUUCAUUGUCUCCCUGUUCACAAGUACCUAGCAGAAGCAUACAUAUCUACAUAUCAUGAAUGGAUUGCAAUCAGCAAGCAGCAGCCUUGCCUGUGUAGAUGUGUAACAGAAAGGCUGGGAGUGGGCACGGGUGGGCGACUUGGGUGCUGUUUUCAUUGUCUCGGUCGUGGAUCGUACCGACGAGAUCGGCGGCGGCUCCCCAAGGGGAUCGUAGCGAUGAGAUCGGCGGCGGUGAAAGGAUCGGUGGCGGGGAACGGAAGUAGCGUAGGGAUCGAGGGGAGGCCUCGAUCCUGCGAGCGCGAGGCCGGCGGCGAAGGGAUGGAGUGCGACUGUGCGAGGGCGGCUGGCAUGGGUUUUUUUUUUGACGGGGAGGCCUCGCUCGCUACCGGGAGGCUGGAGGCAUCGCUACCUCCACGGAGGAAUCGUUUUUUUGUUCGGCGCUGGAACCAGGGCGGGAUCGCUGAUACGUGGGAGGUGGGAAUGAGGACGAAAAAAACCGGGUCUGCUAGGACGAAAUUUAACCGCGGAGACUACCAACUGAGACAUUAG
rnacentral:rRNA from 1 species